rnacentral:rRNA from 1 species
UACGUAGGGGGCGAGCGUUGUCCGGAAUCAUUGGGCGUAAAGAGCGUGUAGGCGGUCCGGUAAGUCGGCUGUGAAAGUCGGGGGCUCAACCCUCGAAUGCCGGUGGAUACUGUCGGGCUAGAGUGCGGAAGAGGCGAGUGGAAUUCCUGGUGUAGCGGUGAAAUGCGCAGAUAUCAGGAGGAACACCUAUUGCGAAGGCAGCUCGCUGGGACGUAACUGACGCUGAGACGCGAAAGCGUGGGGAGCAAACAGG